rnacentral:tRNA from 1 species
UGGGAUGUAGCUCAGUGGUAGAGUGCUUGUCUAGCAUGCAUGAAGUCCUGGGUUCAAUUUCUAGCACUGCAA